rnacentral:rRNA from 1 species
AGGGCGCAUGGUGAAUGCCUUGGCACUAGGAGCCGAUGAAGGACGGGACUAACACCGAUAUGCUUCGGGGAGCUGUACGUAAGCUAUGAUCCGGAGAUUUCCGAAUGGGGCAACCCAGCAGUUUUAAUCAACUGUUACCACUAGAUGAAUUCAUAGUCUAGUUGGAGGUAAACGCUGUGAACUGAAACAUCUCAUUAGCAGCAGGAAUAUAAAGAAAUUUCGAUUCCCUAAGUAGCGGCGAGCGAACGGGGAACAGCCCAAACCAAAGUGCUUGCACUUUGGGGUUGUAGGACUGAACAUUUGAGUUACCAAAGAACUUGAUAGUCGAAGGAUUUGGGAAAAUCCGCCAUAGAUGGUGAUAGCCCAGUAGAUUAAAUCAAAUUCUCUCAGUUCAGGAUCCUGAGUACGGCGGAACACGUGAAAUUCCGUCGGAAUCCGGGAGGACCAUCUCCCAAGGCUAAAUACUACCUAGUGACCGAUAGUGAACCAGUACCGUGAGGGAAAGGUGAAAAGCACCCCGGGAGGGGAGUGAAAUAGUUCCUGAAACCAUGUGCCUACAAUAAGUCAGAGCGCGUUAAUGCGUGAUGGCGUGCCUUUUGUAGAAUGAACCGGCGAGUUAUGAUCCCGUGCAAGGUUAAGACUAAAAAGUCGGAGCCGUAGCGAAAGCGAGUCUGAAAUGGGCGAUUUGAGUACGAGGUUAUAGACCCGAAACCAGGUGACCUAUUCAUGUCCAGGUUGAAGGUGCGGUAAAACGCACUGGAGGACCGAACCCGUGUAAGUUGAAAAUUGCUGGGAUGAGGUGUGGAUAGCGGUGAAAUUCCAAACGAACUUGGAGAUAGCUGGUUCUCUCCGAAAUAGCUUUAGGGCUAGCCUCGGAUUAAGGAUCAUGGAGGUAGAGCACUAUUUGGACUAGGGGCCCGUCUUGGGUUACUGAAUUCAGAUAAACUCCGAAUGCCAUUGAUUCAUGUCCGGGAGUCAGACGAUGAGUGAUAAGAUCCACCGUCGAAAGGGGAACAGCCCAGACCAUCAGUUAAGGUCCCUAAAUGUAUGCUAAGUGGAAAAGGAUGUGGAGUUGCAUAGACAACUAGGAUGUUGGCUCAGAAGCAGCCACCAUUUAAAGAGUGCGUAAUAGCUCACUAGUCGAGUGAUCCUGCGCCGAAAAUGUACCGGGGCUAAGCAUACUACCGAAACCAUGGAUGCGACCAUUAGGUCGCGUGAUAGGAGAGCGUUCUAAGGGCGGUGAAGCAAGAUCGUGAGGACUUGUGGAGCGCUUAGAAGUGAGAAUGCCGGUAUGAGUAGCGAAAGAUAGGUGAGAAUCCUAUCCACCGAAUGACUAAGGUUUCCUGGGGAAGGCUCGUCCUCCCAGGGUUAGUCGGGACCUAAGUCGAGGCCGAGAGGCGUAGACGAUGGAUAACAGGUUGAGAUUCCUGUACUAGUUAAGUGCGUUUGAGCAAUGGAGGGACGCAGGAGGCUAAGAUGUGCAUUCUGUUGGAUUAGAAUGUCCAAGCAGUAAGUCUUGUGGAGAGUCAAAUGCUUUUCACUUUAAGGACAAGCUGUGAUGGGGAGCGAAAUUUAGUAGCGAAGCGUCUGAUGUCACACUGCCGAGAAAAGCUUCUAGUGAGUACUUAACUACCCGUACCGCAAACCGACACAGGUAGUCGAGGAGAGAAUCCUAAGGUGAGCGAGUGAACUCUCGUUAAGGAACUCGGCAAAAUGACCCCGUAACUUCGGGAGAAGGGGUGCUGAUCGCAAGAUCAGCCGCAGUGAAUAGGCCCAGGCGACUGUUUAUCAAAAACACAGGUCUCUGCAAAAUCGUAAGAUGACGUAUAGGGGCUGACGCCUGCCCGGUGCUGGAAGGUUAAAAGGAUGGGUUAGCUUCGGCGAAGCUCAGAAUUGAAGCCCCAGUAAACGGCGGCCGUAACUAUAACGGUCCUAAGGUAGCGAAAUUCCUUGUCGGGUAAGUUCCGACCCGCACGAAAGGCGUAACGAUCUGGGCACUGUCUCAACGAGAGACUCGGUGAAAUUAUAUUGUCCGUGAAGAUGCGGACUACCCGCGACAGGACGGAAAGACCCCAUGGAGCUUUACUGUAGCUUGAUAUUGAGUGUUUGUACAGCUUGUACAGGAUAGGUAGGAGCCAUAGAAACCGGAACGCUAGUUUCGGUGGAGGCGUUGGUGGGAUACUACCCUCGCUGUAUGACCACUCUAACCCGCACCACUAAUCGUGGUGGGAGACAGUGUCAGGUGGGCAGUUUGACUGGGGCGGUCGCCUCCUAAAAAGUAACGGAGGCGCCCAAAGGUUCCCUCAGAAUGGUUGGAAAUCAUUCGCAGAGUGUAAAGGCACAAGGGAGCUUGACUGCGAGACAGACAGGUCGAGCAGGGACGAAAGUCGGGCUUAGUGAUCCGGUGGUACCGUAUGGAAGGGCCAUCGCUCAACGGAUAAAAGCUACCCUGGGGAUAACAGGCUUAUCUCCCCCAAGAGUCCACAUCGACGGGGAGGUUUGGCACCUCGAUGUCGGCUCAUCGCAUCCUGGGGCUGUAGUCGGUCCCAAGGGUUGGGCUGUUCGCCCAUUAAAGCGGUACGCGAGCUGGGUUCAGAACGUCGUGAGACAGUUCGGUCCCUAUCCGUCGCGGGCGUAGGAAAUUUGAGAGGACCUGUCCUUAGUACGAGAGGACCGGGAUGGACAUACCUCUGGUGUACCAGUUGUGCCGCCAGGCGCAUCGCUGGGUAGCUACGUAUGGAUGUGAUAAACGCUGAAAGCAUCUAAGUGUGAAACACACCUCGAGAUGAGAUUUCCCAUUCCUUUAU